rnacentral:tRNA from 1 species
UCCCAUAUGCUCCAGUGGUUAGGAUUUGGCGCUUUCACCGCCAAGGCCCGGGUUCAAUUCCAGGUGUGGGAA